rnacentral:rRNA from 1 species
UCGAGAAUUUUUCUCAAUGGGGGAAACCCUGAAGGAGCGACGCCGCGUGGAGGAUGAAGGUCUUCGGAUUGUAAACUCCUGUCAUUAGGGAACAAUGUGCACGGAUUAACUGUCUGUGCAUUGAUAGUACCUGAAGAGGAAGAGACGGCUAACUCUGUGCCAGCAGCCGCGGUAAUACAGAGGUCUCAAGCGUUGUUCGGAUUCAUUGGGCGUAAAGGGUGCGUAGGCGGUGGGGCAAGUCAGGUGUGAAAUCCCGGAGCUCAACUCCGGAACUGCACUUGAUACUGCUUUACUAGAGUACUGGAGAGGAGACUGGAAUUUACGGUGUAGCAGUGAAAUGCGUAGAUAUCGUAAGGAAGACCAGUGGCGUAAGCGAGUCUCUGGACAGUUACUGACGCUGAGGCACGAAGGCCAGGGGAGCAAACGG